AAAACGCUCCCGCGCUCCACAGCCUGCCUUCCGCGGUUCCGCUUUCCCCGCCCUAUCCAUCCCCCAUCACUCCUCUCUCCCGGCGAGUCUCAGCUCCACCAUUCUCACCGGCCUUCUCCUCCUCUCACGCCGCCGUGCUCGCAGCGCAUCCUCUGCCACGUUCGCUCCGUUCCACGCGCACGCAUGCAUCUAUUCCUCCGACGCAAUGCCGGCCUUUUCUUCCCAGCGCCGUCCGCCUCGGCAGCAGCGCGCUCAGGCCGUUCGGCGGAAUGCCGACCCGGAUGUCGUUUCUUGGACCGCGAGUCCUCGACGGUUGCCAUCGAGAGUCCGGGUGGCAUCGUAGAACAUGCUUGGGAAGUGUUCUGAUGCCUAUGUGUAUAUGCCGGAGGAGCGAGCUACGUUGCAAGGCCGCCUGAAUCCUCCUACAUGGUAGGAAAAGGCAUCUUUUGAAAAAGAAACAGUUGGUGAAGAUUUGCAGAAUAUACAGCUGACGAGAUAGUACACGGGCGAUCAUUUCUGUAAGGCGAUUGCAAUCGAGAGCGAUCAUCGGCGUCUCAAUCAGGGUGUGGACAAGACCAUUUGAGUGGAGGACAAGAAGAAGUGCAAUUUUGUUCCUUAAUGGACGGGGUGGAUGGUUGACCUGCUGGGUGAUCACAUGUUCUCUCUUCCAUCCUCUUGAUUUACUCGCCCUUAUCACCUUAUCACGCGAGCUUUGCCUGAUGGUUACGUUUGCUGUUGUUUUCCAUUCCCCACUGGCGCACUGUUGUGCACCAUGGAAUGUGUCUGUCGUCUUAAUUCGGAACUUGGUAGCGUGUGAGCUCUGGCACUGGCACUGGCAGGCCGGCUGGUUGAUCGCUUUCCUCUGAUGCUGAUCAGCUUGUGGUUGUGGGAACGCCUGUGCUGUGUGGACAUGGUCCUUUGGAACCUAACCAUGCAUUAGGUAUAGUUUAAAUACUUUAUUAGUUGAAUAAUUAGUGUUCAGAAUCACAUUUCUUUUGGGAACACUGUGCCAUUAUUAUUUUGUAUAGUAGAUGAUAAUGAUGUGCUGAUGUAGUGAUGUUAGCUACAAUGCAUCAUUGUUAUUAUUUUAGAUGCUGCACUCUAUCAUUGAGCAGUGUACAGAUUGUCAAUGAUUUUUCCUCUCUGAUUGAGAAAAAUAUAUGGCAAGUGGCUGACACUCUACAUACCAGUGACCUCUGUUUUCCUGCUGUCAGAUGCAGGAUCCCAGGAUUUGUGCAUGCUAUUAUCAGAUACAGUGCGAAUUGAAUGAAGAACAUAAUACAGGAAAGUGGCUGGCCCCUGCUUUUCUUUUAUUAAUUAUUUUUUGCUAUGAGCCACACGUUGUAUUUGGCGUGUCCGCCUGGGGAUCAAGCGUGUAUUUCCACACGUUCAUGAAUUCUGGCGCGUACAAGCAACUUGUUUUUGUGCAUA